GAUGAACGCUGGCGGCGUGCCUAAUACAUGCAAGUCGAGCGAACAGAUGAGGAGCUUGCUCCUCUGACGUUAGCGGCGGACGGGUGAGUAACACGUGGAUAACCUACCUAUAAGACUGGGAUAACUUCGGGAAACCGGAGCUAAUACCGGAUAAUAUAUUGAACCGCAUGGUUCAAUAGUGAAAGACGGUUUUGCUGUCACUUAUAGAUGGAUCCGCGCCGCAUUAGCUAGUUGGUAAGGUAACGGCUUACCAAGGCAACGAUGCGUAGCCGACCUGAGAGGGUGAUCGGCCACACUGGAACUGAGACACGGUCCAGACUCCUACGGGAGGCAGCAGUAGGGAAACUUCCGCAAUGGGCGAAAGCCUGACGGAGCAACGCCGCGUGAGUGAUGAAGGUCUUCGGAUCGUAAAACUCUGUUAUUAGGGAAGAACAAAUGUGUAAGUAACUGUGCACGUCUUGACGGUACCUAAUCAGAAAGCCACGGCUAACUACGUG
rnacentral:rRNA from 1 species